GAAAUGCGAUACGUAAUGCGAAUUGCAGAAUUCAGUGAAUCAUCAAAUCUUUGAACGCAAAUUGCGCUCUCGGGAUAGGCCUGAGAGCACGCCUCUUUGAGUAUCGAUUCCACCCCCCUCCAGAACAAACUGCUUGGUUUGACACUGGGAGUGUGAGUGUUUCACGACGCUUAGUCUUUGUGUCACUUGAAGAUGAAUGGUUGUUGAGUCGGUUCAAUCAGGCACUUGAUUGAGUUUCGGCUGAUUCAUGUUGAUAAAUGUCUUCGUGAACUGCUGGACUUUUAAUUCAAGAUCUUGAGUCGAACUAUUUCAUGCUCAACCCUAACAUCAAAACACUAAUGUUAAGAAUUAGAUCUCAAAUGAAGCGAGACAACCCGCUGAACUUAA
rnacentral:misc_RNA from 1 species